UGUCCUUUGACGUCUUCAGACAUGCUGUAGCAUGGCUGAGCCUGCACUCAUACGCAUGCGCACACAUGGCAACCGGCGACCGCGGCAUGGCAGCAACGCCGCCCACCGUCGGUGACAAGAAGUUGAACUGCAAGCUGAUGUUGGUGGUACAUACACAUCUGUAAUCCCAGAUACUUCGAGAGCUAAGAUGGGAGGAUUCUCAGUUCAGUGACAACACAGUUUUUCACCUCAAUUUUUCAAGAAGAAAAGAUGGCGUGUUAUUUGUCCUAAUUUGUGAUUUAUAUCAUAAGGUCCUUGUGUAGCUCAGAAAAAAAAUUCUUCUGCACUUCAAUAUUUGAAAAGCCUCCUUUAAGUGGCUGCGGGUGUGGCUGAUGGCGAUGGCGAGGAUGAGCUGUAAGCAUGAGGCCCUGGCGGAGGUCCCCACCAAGACAAAAUCAGGUCAGCCAGCCCACCUCUGGAGUCUCCAGUGCCUUGGGAAAAUGAACGAAGGUGGCGAGUUUAGCAUCUGUAGCCGGUAGAAAAACAAAGUCGUAGGAGGACAGUCAGACUCAGCCCAUGCCCGACAGCUGCCAGGUGUCACAGAAGCAACCAGGGCUGAGCAUGAUGAAGUAUGAAACCAACUGGUCUCUGACAUGAGAGAUUCUGACGUCUGCUGUGGUGGAUUUUCUUUCUCAGCAUUACUGGCUCUUCUCUGUCUCUGUCUUUGUGGGGGCACCUCCCACCCUAUGUCCCCUACCAGCCUGUUUUCCAUCACUUGUCUUUUUCUGACUCUCCCUACUGUUUAUUUGCAGCAGUCAGUGUCUGAUACAGCUUUCAGCUUUGCUUUCGCUAUUGAGCGGCCCUGGAACUUUCCGGCUACAUUCCCAGGGGGCUUCCUAAUCGACCCUGCUGAAGGGGGCGUUCUCAGCGGUUCCUUCUCAGCCUUCUGAUCCUCCGUGGGAGGGCUGAUCUCUAUUCAGCUCUUCCUCAUAAUUUAGGCACCAGCAGACCUCGGGUGAGAGCUCACAGGUGCAGGAAGGAGCCACCUACAGCUGCUGAGGAUGCACGACUAGGGCCAGGCUGAUUUCUGGAGGGAUUGGCAGAUGUGGAAGUGGUUAAGGUUGCUUGAACCCAGGAAGAAAGUUCUUAUCCCUGAGACAUCCCUGUGCUAUGCUGUAGCCAGUGUGCUGGCCACUCCAGGGACACAGAAAUCCUUGCCUCCUCGAGCACACUGUGAGCUGGGGAAACAUACUGAGUUCUAUACAUCGACAGGGGGGUUGGAAAGCAUCGAUCUAAAAGGCUGGCAGAAUGGCCAAAGACUAAAGAAAGCAUUAGACGGCGUGCGUGUGGUGCACAGCCACACAUGCCACCAAAUACUCAUUCACAUAAAAAUACGUCUUAUUUUACUUAAAGAAAGAGUGAGAUGGGGCAGAGCGAGAUUUGAGAGGACCUGGAAAGGCUUUUUCUCCCCGGUGGACACCAGCCGGUUGUAAAACAGUAACAUUGUAACAUUGUAGCCUAAGGAGGACAAGGAGAAUCCAGAUUUCAGCACUUUUGGUGCUGGGAUUUAAAAGUGCGCAGCUUACUGGUAAAGAUCAAAGGAAUCACCACAGGGAAGGCAGAAUGGGAGCAGAACCCCUGUCAGUGUGUGGUGGUGGGGGUGAAACUGGACAGUGACCUAAAAGGCAUUUUACAGAUUAAGCCCCUCCCCACCAUCUUUACACCGUUCCUGGUCUGGCUUCCCGGUAGCUCUGUCUGUCUUCAUGACCCUGCCCCCCACUCUGGUAGCUUUCUCACCAGAGCCCCUGAGCUCCUCUUCGCCCACUGCCGUGCCAGAUGAAGGCACAGACACCAGCUCCGAGAUCGCCACCAAGGACUUGAAGGAGAAGAUGUUGUGCAGGAGGCAGAGAAUGAAGAGAUGCCCUUGACAACGGGAAUGCCGGAAAUGGGGAUCAGGAGGCUGGGGUGAGGCAGGUAAGGAAGAGGACAGAGAGGAAGCUGAGGCUGAGGCUGAGGCAGCCACAGGCCAGUGGGCUGCUGAAGAUGACAAGGAUGAUCAUGCUGAUACUGUGGAGCCGGAGAUGGAUGAGGACGAUUGGACAGCAAAGAAGAAAAGGUUAAUCCUAAAAGGCUACCAUGGCCUCUUCACCCUCCACUUCCCAGCUCAGCAUCCCUGUGCAUUCACCUGUGGGUAGCAAGGUUGCCUACAGUGGGCAGUCUCAUGGGAAGAGCACACACACACUACACACACACAUACUGCUGAAAUCAGGAUCGGCUCUGAACCCAGUGACAUCACACCUAGGUGACAGUGACCUGUACAUGUGUGGCCAUGGCGACUGCCAUACAUUCCCCGAAUCCUCUUGGCUCACCUCCCACCUUUACCUGCAAGCGACUACGUCAUCCAAAUAAAAGGAAGACCCCUCUGACCCCUCUCUCCCCUCCCUUCUUCAAUGCCACCUUUGCUCUCUUCCUCCACAAUAAACCUCUGCCAUGUGGAUCAAACUUACAAAAGUCCUAGGGAAACUGGGACAGUUGGCCACCCUAGCCCUGGAUCCAGCUGUCAAACCAGAAAGAAGUUAAGACGUCCAUGAAAGAGGACAAAGCUAUCCAGCAGGGUCUCUCUGUUUAGCAAGAAGCUGUCUGCUAAUUCAUAAUCCUCCUGCCUCAGUCUAGGAUUACAGAAGCACACCACCGUGCCCAGGACUCAGGUGAUCUUUUGAGGGUCAUGCACAAGAUUGUCACCUGCCCAGGGUUCACUCCCUGCCUCUAAGUUAAAGCCCUGAUUUUUCCAAAU
rnacentral:lncRNA from 1 species